GUUAUUGAAUCUAUUGUAAUUACUUUUAUAUUAAUAACGUUGGUUUUCCAACUACGACGAUAAACGAAUUUCGUAAUAACCAUUGCGGACGUGGGGGCAGUACCCACCACCUCCACCAUUACAACUUAUGGGGGUGAACUAGAUUCGACGGGUGACUAAAGGCUAUUCUUUCGUUCGGGAUUGUUCCACCGUAACGGGCUAUUUUAUAAUUGCUAACGAAAGUUACGCACUUGCUGCCUAAUUAACUUUGUUAAUUAAGCAGACGGGGUCUGGGGCACCUGGCAACAGAACGCCCCUACA
rnacentral:tmRNA from 1 species